AAUCGGAUAACUCUCUACUUCGCUGCACCUUUCUGCUUCCGCUUUAUCCUAAACCCUAAUCCUUUCUCCUCUCGUCUUCUAUCCUUCGCGCGCUUAUUCUGGAGGAAUGGCUGCAAUCUCUUCGUUCUUGGCUCCUAAUUUCUACCAGAAUCGUAUCGACUGCGGCCGAAGCGCCAAUGCAUCAGCUUGGGUGGCAGCCGGAGCUUCUCCAGAGAGAUACCGAGCGUUUCCGGCCUACUCUUCUAGUUCCUUGCCUAUUCUCCGGAGGAUUGCGUUCAGGGUGUCGGUAGUAGCGGUGGAGGCCUCCGCGGCGGCUGAGCCGGAAGCUGCGCGUAGGCUCUAUGUGGGAAACAUACCGAGAACCGUGACAAAUGAGGAGCUAGAGAAUAUAUUUGGCGAGCAUGGAUCCGUGGAGAAGACCGAGGUUAUGUAUGAUAAAUACUCUGGUAGGAGUCGGCGCUUUGCAUUUGUGACAAUGAAUUCAGUAGAGGGCGCAAAUGUUGUGAUUGAAAAGCUCAAUGACACUGAAAUUGGAGGUCGGAAAAUCAAAGUAAAUGUGACAGAAAAACCACUUGCUGCUCCUGAUUUAUCUCUUAUCCAAGGUGAUGAGUCAGCAUUUAUAGACAGCCCGCACAAGGUUUAUGUUGGCAAUCUUGCAAAGUCAGUUACCAGUGAUGUACUCACCAAAUUCUUUUCUGAGAAGGGAAAUGUUCUCAGUGCAAAAGUAUCUCGAGUUCCAGGAACUUCAAAAUCUAGUGGCUUUGGCUUCGUGUCAUUUUCGUCGGAGGAGGAUGUGGAAGCUGCUAUUGCAUCAUGCAAUAAUGCUGUGUUGGAAGGGCAGAAGAUUCGCGUCAACAGAGCAACAUGACGAUCGAAGUUGCCCGUGCAUUAUGGAUCACUGAUAACAUUAUAUGUUUCUUGCAACAUGAGAGAAACCAGUCUCAUUCCUGUGGAAAUGCCGCGCUGAGAAAGGCGGUACUACUGUUGACUUGGAGAAGACUUCACUAGGGAGAGACGAUGGCACCUGGUGCUCCUUUCAGCUCCUUUCUGCGCACACCUGAAAGAGUCAACAGAAUGUUAAGGUAAAAACCAGAAAAGGAGUCCCUGACGUAGACCUUCCGACGCUCAAGUCAAUAAAUGACUGAACGAAAAGUGCAGAAGAACUAUAGUAAAAUUGAGUGAGCUUAGUAAAGAGUAAUAUUGUGUAGUAGUCUAUAAAAACUACCUCCCAACGGAGAGAACUCUCUUUUUAUAUCACCUUCCAUAACUUCGUAAUAAUGAGGUGAUAAGGGAUAUUAGGUAUCAAAGAUGUCGGAUAAUGAAAGGUGUACAGUCUAGAAUUUGUACAGUUAUCUUCCGAGGAAUCUUCU